AGCGAACGCUGGCGGCAGGCCUAACACAUGCAAGUCGAACGAACCUUUCGGGGUUAGUGGCGGACGGGUGAGUAACACGUGGGAACGUGCCUUUAGGUUCGGAAUAACUCAGGGAAACUUGUGCUAAUACCGAAUGUGCCCUUCGGGGGAAAGAUUUAUCGCCUUUAGAGCGGCCCGCGUCUGAUUAGCUAGUUGGUUGAGGUAAUGUCUCACCAAGGCGACGAUCAGUAGCUGGUCUGAGAGGAUGAUCAGCCACAUUGGGACUGAGACACGGCCCAAACUCCUACGGGAGGCAGCAGUGGGGAAUCUUGCGCAAUGGGCGAAAGCCUGACGCAGCCAUGCCGCGUGAAUGAUGAAGGUCUUAGGAUUGUAAAAUUCUUUCACCGGGGACGAUAAUGACGGUACCCGGAGAAGAAGCCCCGGCUAACUUCGUG
rnacentral:rRNA from 1 species